rnacentral:rRNA from 1 species
ACGCUGGCGGCGUGCUUAACACAUGCAAGUCGAACGAUGAAGCCUAGCUUGCUAGGUGGAUUAGUGGCGAACGGGUGAGUAAUACGUGAGUAACCUACCUUUAACUCUGGGAUAAGCCUGGGAAACUGGGUCUAAUACCGGAUACGACCAAUCUCCGCAUGGAGUGUUGGUGGAAAGCGUUAUGUAGUGGUUAUAGAUGGGCUCACGGCCUAUCAGCUUGUUGGUGAGGUAACGGCUCACCAAGGCGACGACGGGUAGCCGGCCUGAGAGGGUGACCGGCCACACUGGGACUGAGACACGGCCCAGACUCCUACGGGAGGCAGCUGGGGGAAUAUUGCACAAUGGGCGCAAGCCUGAUGCAGCGACGCCGCGUGAGGGAUGACGGCCUUCGGGUUGUAAACCUCUGUUAGCAGGGAAGAAGAGAAAUUGACGGUACCUGCAGAGAAAGCGCCGGCUAACUACGUGCCAGCAGCCGCGGUAAUACGUAGGGCGCGAGCGUUGUCCGGAAUUAUUGGGCGUAAAGAGCUUGUAGGCGGUUUGUCGCGUCUGCUGUGAAAGGCCGGGGCUUAACCCCGUGUAUUGCAGUGGGUACGGGCAGACUAGAGUGCAGUAGGGGAGACUGGAACUCCUGGUGUAGCGGUGGAAUGCGCAGAUAUCAGGAAGAACACCGAUGGCGAAGGCAGGUCUCUGGGCUGUAACUGACGCUGAGAAGCGAAAGCAUGGGGAGCGAACAGGAUUAGAUACCCUGGUAGUCCAUGCCGUAAACGUUGGGCACUAGGUGUGGGGGACAUUCCACGUUUUCCGCGCCGUAGCUAACGCAUUAAGUGCCCCGCCUGGGGAGUACGGCCGCAAGGCUAAAACUCAAAGAAAUUGACGGGGGCCCGCACAAGCGGCGGAGCAUGCG